CAUUCUGCAUCCCAGUUUGGAGAGUGGGGCCUGGGGUCUUAAAUGCUAGCAAGUGGCCAUCUAAGAUGCAUCAAUUGGUCUCAACCCACCUGGAGCAAAGAGAAUGAAGACCACCAAAGACACAAGCAUCUGGGAUUAUAUGUUUACUGGUUCAUCAGUUUGUUGCCCACUACCCACCAGCGGCUCCAAAGGAGAAAGUUGUGACAGUCUGCUUCCGUAAAGAUUGUAGCCUUGGAAACCUGAUGAGGCAAUUCUAUUCUGUCCUGUGGGGUUGCUAUGAGUUGGAAUUAACUCAACAGCACACAACAACAACAUCUUCUACUAAAAUAUGCCUCUCCACCAACCAUGAUGUCCUUUCUGGUGAUUAGCCUUUCCUGAUGACAUGUCCAAAGACUCGAUAUCUUGACAUCCUUGCUUCUAAGGAACAUUCUGGUAAGGAAUAUAUUUUUUAAAUUUCUUAUCAGUUCGUAGAGUUGAAUGCUUACACCGAAUAAUGAUAAACAUCCACAAGGCAUCUCCAUCUUUGUAAGUUUCCAGUGCAGUUCUGUUCCCCAGGACUCAGACCUUAUGACAGAGGGCUCAUCCUGGAAUCUAAGAAUGACGCAGGGGAACUUUUCUGCCAUUGCAGUGGAAUGGGGCUCUCGUCAGACCCAGAAUUAUAGAAUUCAUAGGAAAUGAAGUGUUUUUACACCUGACUUUGAGAUCUGAGAUUCAAACCCAUCUUGUUGUUCUCCCUUGCAAACUCCUGUCAGCAACAUAACAAGAAGCAAGGGUUAUCUUCCCCUCUCAUUACCCAGAAGUGUGAGACGGAGAAGCCUCAUCCCUGAGAAGGUGAAUCCAGGGACAUAGUAUGUACCAACGCUAAUAAGUAACCACUAUUUACUUAUGUCUGUUUCUUUUCCCCCAAAAUUUAUAAUUUAUUUUAUUUUUAUUGUUAUUAAGAAUACACACAGCAGAACAUACACCAAUCCAACAGUGUCUACAUGUACAACUCAGUGACAUUAUGAGAGUUGUGCCCAACACUCACCCUCCUUUUCUAAGUUGUUCCUCCCCCAUCAGCAUGAACUCACUGCCCUGUAAGAUUCCCAUCUGUCUUACUUAUCUAGUGCUGUUCUAACAGAAAUACUACAAGUGGAUGGCUUUAACAAAGAGAAGUUUGUUCUUUCAUAGUCUAGGAGGCUAGAAGUCCAAAUUCAGAGUGCCAGCUCUGAGGGAAGGCUUUCUCUCUAUGGCGGCUCUGGAGGAAGGUCCUUGUCAUCAAUCUUCCCUUGGUCUGGGAGUUUCUUUGUGCAGGAACCCUGGGUCUAAAGGACACGUUCUGCUCCUGACACUAUUUUCUUGGUGGCAUGAAGUCCCCCCUCUCUCUGUGCUCACUUCUUUCUUUUAUAUCUCAAAAGAGAUUGGCUCAAGACAUAAUCCAAUCUUGUAGACUGAGUUCUGCCUCAUUAACAUAACUGCCACUAAUCCCAUCUCAUUAACAUCAGAUGACAAAAUGUUGGAAAAUCACAUAAUACUGGGAUCGUGCCCAGCCAAGAUGACAGACAGAUGUUUUUAGGGACACAAUUCAAUCCAUGAACUAUUUAAUCUUUCUAAUUGCUAUUGUCAAUUUGAUCCCAUAUAGAUAGAUCUUAAAAAGGCAUACUUCUCAAAGCAAGUGACCACUAUUUAAAUUCCAAGAAGCUCUGGUGGUAUGGUUAAGAGCUUAUCUGCUAAUCAAGAGGGGUCACUAUGGGGUCACUAUGAGUUGGAAAUUGUCACAUGGGGUCACUAUGAGUCAGAAUUGACUCAACAGCAGUUAGCAACAACAUUUACAUCCCAUUCACUCGGGUUGUAAAAUUUUAUUUAUUAUCAUGAUUCAUAAACUUGGUGCAGCACCGUGGUAUCUGGGAGAGAAAAUAGGGAAGAUUUCUGCCCAACUGCAUUCUUUUUUUUUAAAAAUUGUGCUUUAGGUGAAGUUUUACAGAGAAAAUUAGUUUCUCAUUCAACAAUUUAUAUACAAAUUAUUUGGUGACAUUGGUUGCAAUCCCCAUGAUGUGUCAACACUCUCCCCUUCCACACCCCGAUUCCCUGUCUUCAUCCAUCCAUGUUUCCCUUGCCUUCCUGCCUUCUCAUCAUUGCUUUUGGCAGUGCUGAUCUUUUGGUCAUGUAUACGUACAUUACUGAAUUAAGAAGCACAUCCCUUACGUGUGAUAUUGUUUGUUUUAUAAGCCUGUCUAAUCUUUGGCUGAAGGGUGGACUUCAGGAGUGGCUUCAGUUCUGAGUUAGCAGGGUGUCUGGGGUCCCCAGGCUUGGGGGUUCUUCCAGUCUCUGUCACACCAGUAAGUCUGUUUUUGUGUGUGUGUGUGUGAAUUUGAAUUUAGUUCUACACUUUUCUCCUGCUGUGUCCAGGACCCUCUACUGGGAUUCCUGUCAGAGGGGUCAGUGGUGGUAGUUGGGCACCAUCUAGUUUUUUUGGACUCAGGCUGGCGGAGGCUGUGCUACUUGUGGUUUCCUUCAUUCUCCAUUGCUCUGGAUGGGAUGGGACCAGAAGAUGUAUCUUAGAGGGCCACUCUCAAGCUUUUAAGACCCCAGAUGCUACUCACCAAAGUUGGAUGUAGAACAUUUUCUUUAUGAACUUUGUUAUGCCAGUUGACCUAGAUGACCCCCAUGACCACGGUCCCCAGCACUCAGCCUGAGUAACUCAGCUCCUCAGGGCGUUUGAAUGUGUCUAUGAAGCUUCUUAUGACUUUGCCUUGGUCAAAUUGCGCUGACUUGCCCUUUAUUGUGUACUGUCCUUCCCUUCACCAAAGUUAACACUUAUCUACUCUCUAGUUGAUGAUUUCCCCUCCCUGCCCUUGUAACUAUCAAAGAUUGUUUCUUCCUGUGUAUAAACCUUUCCUUGAGUUUUUAUAAUAGUGGUCUCAUACAGUAUUUGUCCUUUUAUGAUUGUCUUAUUUCCCUUGGCAUAAUGCCCUCCUGAUUCAUCCACGUUAUGAGAUAUUUUGAGGAUUCAUCAUUUGUUCUUUAUUGUGUAGUAUUCCAUUGUGUGUAUGUACCAUGAUUUGACUAUCCAUUCCCCUGUUGUGGAUAGUCAACUUAGGUUGUGUCUGGCUUUUUGCUAUUGCUAAUAAUGAUGCAAUGAACACAGUUGUGCAUAUGUUCAUUUGUGUGACAGCUCUUAUUUCUCUAGGAUAUAUUCCUAGGAGUGGGAUUGCUGAAUCAUAUAAUAUUGCUAUUUCUAGCUUUUUAAGGAGGCACCAUAUUGUUUUCCAUAGUGGUUGUACCAUUUUACAUUCCCACCAGCGGUGCAUAAUAAUUGUUCCCCUACAACCUCUCCAACACUUGUUAUUUUCUGUUUUUGUGAUUAGUGCCAGUAAUGUUGGGUGAAAUGGUAUCUCGACGUAGUUUAAUUUGCAUUUCUCUAAUGGCUAAUGAGGAGCCCUGCUGGUGCAGUGGUUAAGAGCUAUGGCUGCUAAUCAAAAGGUUGGCAGUUUGAAUUCACCAGCCACUCCUUGGAAACCGUAUGGAGCAGUUUGACUCCGUCCUAUAGUGCACUAUGAGUUGAAAUUGACGCAAUGGGUUAAUGGCUAAUGAUUUCGAGUAUUUCGUCGUAUGUAUGUUAGCCACCUGGGUGUCUUCUUUGGUGAAGUGCCUGGUCAUAUAUUUGCCCAUUUUUUAAUUGGAUUAUUUGUCUUUUUAUUGUUAAGAUGUUGCAGUAUCUUAUAGAUUUCAGAGAUUAGACCCUUGUCGGAUAUGUCAUAGCCCAAUUUUUUUUUCCUGGCAUGUAGUUCUGUUUUUACUCUUUUGGUGAAGUCUUUUGAUGAGUGUGUUUAAUUUUUAGGAGCGCUCAGUUAUCUAGUUUAUCUACUGGUGUUUGUGCAUUGUUAGUUAUGAUUCGUAUCCUACUUAUGCAGUAUAUUAGAGCCUCUAGUGUUGUCUCUAUUUUUUCUUCCGUGAUCUUUAUAAUUUUAGGUUUUAUAUUUAGGUCUUUGAUCCAUUUUGAAUGUAUGGUGUUUUUGUGUAUGGUGUGAGAUAUGGGCCCGGUUUCAUUUUUUUACAGUUGGACAGCCAGUUUUGCCAGCACCGUUUGUUAAAGAGACUGUCUUUUCCCCAUUUAAUGGAGUUUGGGCCUUUGUCAAAGAUCAGCUGACCAUAGGUGGAUGGAUACAUGUCUUGGUUCUCAGCUCUGUUCCAUUGGUCUAUGUGUCUGUCAUUGUACCAGUACCAGGCUGUUUUGACUACUGUGGCUGUAUAAUAGGUUCUGAAAUCAGGUGGUAUGAGGCCUUCUACUUUGUUCUUCUUUUUCAAUAAUAUUUUGCUCAUCUUUCCUUUCCUUUCCAUAUAAAGUUAGUGAUUAGUUUUUCCACCUUGUUAAAGAAUGCUGUUGGAAUUUGGGGAUCAGGAUUGCAUUAUAUCUGUAUAUCGCUUGGGUAUAACUGACAUUUCCACAAUGUUGAAUCUUCCUAUCCAUGAGCAUGGUAUAUUUUCCAUUUACAUAGGCAUUUUUUGGUUUCUUGCAGUAGUGUUUGGUAGUUUUCUGUGUAUAGGUCUUUUACAUCCCUGGUCAGAUUUAUUCCUAAGUAUUUUAUUUUUUUUCCAGGAAUUCCUAAGUAUUUUAUUUAUUUAUUUUCCCCCACGUGUCUGUCAGUUUGUCAUACUGUGGGGGCUUGUGUGUUGCUGUGAUGCUGGAAGCUAUGCCACUGGUAUUCAGAUACCAGCAGGGUCACCCAUGGAGGACAGGUUUCAGCUGAGCUUCCAGACUAAGACAGACAAGGAAGAAGACCUUGGCAGUCCACUUCUGAAAAGCAUUAGCCAGUGAAAACCUUAUGAAUAGCAGUGGAACAUUGUCUGAUAUACUGCUGGAAGAUGAGCCCACCAGGUUGGAAGGCACUCAAAAGAUGACUGGGGAAGAGCUGCCUCCUCAAAGUAGAGUCGACCUUAAUGACACGGAUGGAGUAAAGUUUUCAGGACCUUCAUUUGCUGAUGUGGCAUGACUCAAAAUGAGAAGAAACAGCUGCAAACAUCCAUUAAUAAUCGGAACCUAGAAUAUACAAAGUAUGAAUCUAGGAAAAUUGGAAAUCGUCAAAAAUGAAAUGGAACACAUAAACAUCGAUAUCCUAGGCAUUAGUGAGCUGAAAUGGACUGGUAUUGGCCAUUUUGAAUUGAACAAUCAUAUAGUCUACUAUGCUGGCAAUGACAACUCAAAGAGGAAUGGUGUUGCAUUCAUCAUCAAAAAGAACAUUUCAAGAUCUAUCCUGAAGUACAACGCUGUCAGUGAUAGGAUAAUAUCCAUAGGACUACAAGGAAGACCAGUUAAUAUGACUAUUAUUCAAAUUUAUGCACCAACCACUAGGGCCAAAGAUGAAAUAGAAGAUGGUUAUCAGCUGCUGCAGUCUGAAAUUGAUCAAGCGUGCAAUCAAGAUGCAUUGAUAAUUACCGGUGAUUGGAAUGAGAAAGUUGGAAACAAAGAAGAAGGAUCAGUAGUUGGAAAAUAUGGCCUUGAUGAUAGAAACAAUGCCAGAGAUAGAAUGAUAGAAUUUUGCAAGACCAACGACUUCUUCGGUGCAAAUACCUUCUUUCACCAACAUAAACAGCGACUAUAAACACAUGGACCUCGCCAGAUGGAACACACAGAAAUCAAAUUGACUACAUCUGUGGAAAGAAACGAUGGAAAAGCUCAAUAUUAUCAGUCAGAACAAGCCAGGGGCCGACUGUGGAACAGACCAUCCAUUGCUCAUACGGAAGUUCAAGCUGAAACUGAAGCAAAUCAGAGCAAGUCCACGAGAGCCAAAAUAUGACCUUGAGUAUAUCCCACCUGAAUUUAGAGACCAUCUCAAGAAUAGAUUUGACGCAUUGAACACUAGUGACCAAAGACCAGACGAGUUGUGGAAUGACAUCAAGGACAUCAUCCAUGAAGAAAGCAAGAGGUCUCUGAAAAGACAGGAAAGAAAGAAAAGACCAAGGUGGAUGUCAGAGGAGACUCUGAAACUUGCUUUUGAGCAUCGAGCAGCUAAAGCAAAAGGAAGAAUUGACGAAGUAAAAGAACUGAACUGAAGAUUUCAAAGGGCCUCUUGAGAAGACAAAGUAAAGUAUUACAAUGACAUGUGCAAAAAGCUGGAGAUGGAAAACCAAAAGGGAAGAACAUGCUCACCGUUUCUCAAGCUGAGAGAACUGAAGGAAAAAUUCAAGCCUCGAGUUGCAAUAGUGAAGGAUUCCAUGGGGAAAAUAUUAAAUGAUGCAGGAAGCAUCAAAAGAAGAUGGAAGGAAUACACAGAGUCAUUGUACCAAAAAGAAUUAGUCAAUGUUCAACCAUUUCAACAGGUGACAUAUGAUCAGGAACCGAUGGUACUGAAGGAAGAAGUCCAAGCUGCUCUGAAGGCAUGGGCAAAAAACACGGCUCCAGGAAUUGAUGGAAUAUCAUUUCAGAUGUUUCAACAAACAGAUGCAGUGCUGGAGGUGCUCACUCGUCUAUGCCAAGAAAUAUGGAAGACAGCUUCCUGGCCAACUGACUAGAAGAGAUCCAUAUUUAUGCCUAUUCCCAAGAAAGGUGAUCCAACUGAAUGUGGAAAUUAUAGAACAAUAUCAUUAAUAUUACAUGCAGGCAAAAUUCUGUUGAAGAUCAUUCAAAAACGGUUGCAGCAGUAUAUUGACAGCGGACUGCUAGAAAUUCAGGCCAGUUUCAGAAGAGGACGUGGAACCAGGGAUAUCAUUGCUGAUGUCAGAUGGACCCUGGCUGAAAGCAGAGAAUACCAGAAGGAUGUUUACCUGUGUUUUAUUGACUAUGCAAAGGCAUUUGUCUGCGUGGAUCAUAACAAACUAUGGAUAACAAUGUGAAGAAUGGAAAUUCCGGAACACUUAAUUGUGCUCAUGAGGAACCUUACAUAGAUCAAGAGGCAGUUGUUCGGACAGAACAAGGGGAUACUGAUUGGUUUAAAGUCAGUAAAGGUCUGCAUCAGGGUUGUAUUCUUUCACCAUACCUAUUUAAUCUGUAUGCCGAACAAAUAAUAGGAGAAGCUGGACUAUAUGAAGAAGAAGGGGGCAUCAGGAAUGGAGGAAGACUUAUCAACAACCUGCUUUAUGCAGAUGACAGAACCUUGCUUGCUGAAAAUGAAGAGGACUUGAAGCACUUACUAAUGAAGAUCAAAGACCACAGCCUUCAGUAUGGAUUACACCUCAACAUAAAGAAAACAAAAAUCCUCACAACUGGACCAAUGAGCAACAUCCUGAUAAAUGGAGAAAAGAUUGAAGUUGUCAAGGAUUUCAUUUUACUUGGAUCCACAAUCAACAGCCAUGGAAGCAGCAGUCAAGAAAUCAAAAGAUGCAUUGCAUUGGGUAAAUCUGCUGCAAAGGACCUCUUCAAAGUGUUGAAGA